rnacentral:tRNA from 1 species
GGGCCGGUAGCUCAGCCAGGUAGAGCGGCGGGCUUUUAACCCCUAGGCGGAAGUCCCGGGUUCGAAUCCCGGCCGGCCCGCCA